rnacentral:ncRNA from 1 species
AUCGUUCAAUCUGUUAAGACAGAUCGGAAGUAGGAUUAAGCCGAAGGAACGCGGA